rnacentral:rRNA from 1 species
AGUGAACGCUGGCGGUAGGCCUAACACAUGCCAGUCGAACGGCAGCACAGUAAGAGCUUGCUCUUACGGGUGGCGAGUGGCGGACGGGUGAGGAAUACAUCGGAAUCUACUUUUUCGUGGGGGAUAACGUAGGGAAACUUACGCUAAUACCGCAUACGACCUACGGGUGAAAGCAGGGGAUCUUCGGACCUUGCGCGAUUGAAUGAGCCGAUGUCGGAUUAGCUAGUUGGCUGGGUAAAGGCCCACCAAGGCGACGAUCCGUAGCUGGUCUGAGAGGAUGAUCAGCCACACUGGAACUGAGACACGGUCCAGACUCCUACGGGAGGCAGCAGUGGGGAAUAUUGGACAAUGGGCGAAAGCCUGAUCCAGCCAUACCGCGUGGGUGAAGAAGGCCUUCGGGUUGUAAAGCCCUUUUGUUGGGAAAGAAAAGCAGCAGGUUAAUACCCCGCUGUUCUGACGGUACCCAAAGAAUAAGCACCGGCUAACUUCGUG